rnacentral:lncRNA from 1 species
UGAAAGGAGAUAUGGCCCUAAUUAUGCAGCUUUAUUGGGGAUUGGAAGGUUAUGGGAAAGAAUACAUAGCAGGCACGCGGACGGGGUGCGGAAGAGGUGGCGCACAGCACACAGCUAACCGGACGGAAAGGGUCGCCAGCACGGGGCGCCGGACCUCAUGUUGCCGCCAGUUAGAGCGUACGACGAAGCUCCGCAGAACAGGUAGCGCAUGAACUUGAACUACGGAUCGGGAAGCCGAAAAAGAGAGCAGUAAACGAUAGUGUGUCACCACGAGGAAAAGAAAUACAGCAGCAGCAAUGGCCCAUAGUGGCGGUAGCAGCAGCGCUCGGCUACUGAUAGCUGCUUUGCAAUGCAAUCAACACAGCCAGAUGCCCAGUCAACGUGCCAUCCAGCCACCUGGCAGCCCUCCCAAACAGUACCAUCGAUCUCUGUCGGCCGUACACAAAUGCUGCAUCACCUACCUUGUGUUUUCAUCCACCCAGUCACGGUCUGGUUAGCUCCAUUAUCUACCAAACCACGCGGCUCCUAACUUCCUCACCCGACACGCUUCCGCCGACCCCCCCCAGCCGAACC